rnacentral:tRNA from 1 species
GGAGGGAUGGCCGAGUCUGGCUUAAGGCGGCGGUCUUGAAAACCGUUGAUCGUUUCACGCGGUCCGAAGGUUCGAAUCCUUCUCCCUCCGCCU